rnacentral:ncRNA from 10 species
AACUUAUCAAGAGCGGCUGAGGGACUGGACCUAUGAAGCCCGGCAACCUGCAUAGUUUGUAAGGUGCUACUUCCAGCAAAAUGAAUUCCAUUUUGAAAGAUAAGGG